AUGCCGGCGAGUGGCGAACGGGUGAGUAAUGCAUCGGAACGUGCCCAGUCGUGGGGGAUAACGUAGCGAAAGUUACACUAAUACCGCAUACGACCUGAGGGUGAAAGCAGGGGACCGCAAGGCCUUGUGCGAUUGGAGCGGCCGAUGUCAGAUUAGCUAGUUGGUGGGGUAAAGGCCUACCAAGGCGACGAUCUGUAGCGGGUCUGAGAGGAUGAUCCGCCACACUGGGACUGAGACACGGCCCAGACUCCUACGGGAGGCAGCAGUGGGGAAUUUUGGACAAUGGGCGCAAGCCUGAUCCAGCCAUGCCGCGUGCGGGAAGAAGGCCUUCGGGUUGUAAACCGCUUUCGGACGGAAAGAAAUCGCCAUCGCUAAUACCGGUGGUGGAUGGCGGUACCGUAAGAAGAAGCACCGGCUAACUACGUGCCAGCAGCCGCGGUAAUACGUAGGGUGCGAGCGUUAAUCGGAAUUACUGGGCGUAAAGCGUGCGCAGGCGGUUUCUUAAGCCAGAUGUGAAAUCCCCGGGCUUAACCUGGGAACUGCAUUUGGAACUGGGAGACUAGAGUGCGUCAGAGGGGGGGUGGAAUUCCACGUGUAGCAGUGAAAUGCGUAGAGAUGUGGAGGAACACCGAUGGCGAAGGCAGCCCCCUGGGAUGACACUGACGCUCAUGCACGAGAGCGUGGGGAGCAAACAGGAUUAGAUACCCCUGGUAGUCCACGCCCUAAACGAUGUCAAC
rnacentral:rRNA from 1 species